GACGAACGCUGGCGGCGUGCUUAACACAUGCAAGUCGAACGGUGAAGGGGUCUGCUUUUGUGGGCCCUGGAUGAGUGGCGAACGGGUGAGUAACACGUGAGUAACCUGCCCCCUUCUUCUGGAUAACCGCAUGAAAGUGUGGCAAAUACGGGAUAUUCUGGGUCUGUCGCAUGAUGGGUCUGGGAAAGAUUGCGCCUUUGGGUGUUUUUGGUGGGGGAUGGGCUCGCGGGCUAUCAGCUUGGUGGUGGGGUGAUGGCCUACCAGGGCGGGGACGGGUAGGCGGGCUGGGAGGGUGGACGGUGACACGGGGACUGAGACACGGCCCAGACGCCUACGGGAGGCAGCAGUGGGGGAGAGUGCACAAGGGGCGAAAGCCUGAUGCAGCGACGCCGCGUGAGGGAUGGAGGCCUUCGGGGUGUAAACCUCUUGCGCCAGUGAAGCAGGCCUGCUCCUUGUGGGUGGGUUGGCGGUAGCUGGAGAAGAAGCGCCGGCUAACUACGUG
rnacentral:rRNA from 1 species